rnacentral:tRNA from 1 species
CAGGAAAUAGUUUAGUUAGAAUUGUAGCUUUGGGGGUUAUUGGUGUAAGUGUUGAAUCUUACUUUCCUGA